AGUGAACGCUGGCGAUAGGCCUAACACAUGCAAGUCGAACGGCAGCACAGUAAGAGCUUGCUCUUACGGGUGGCGAGUGGCGGACGGGUGAGGAAUACAUCGGAAUCUACUUUUUCGUGGGGGAUAACGUAGGGAAACUUACGCUAAUACCGCAUACGACCUACGGGUUAAAUCAGGAGAUCUUGGGACCUUGCCCGAUUCAAUGAGCCGGUGUCGGAUUAGCUAGUUGGCGGGGUAACGGCAUACCAAGGCGACGAUCCGUAGCCGGUCUGAGAGGAUGAUCAGCCACACUGGAACUGAGACACGGUCCAGACUCCUACGGGAGGCAGCAGUGGGGAAUAUUGGACAAUGGGCGAAAGCCUGACGCAGCCACACCGCGUGGGUGAUGAAGGUCUUCGGGUUGUAAAGCCCUGUUGUUAGGGAAGAACAACAGCAGAAUAAUCCAUCGAUGUUCUGACGGUACCUAAAGAAUAAGCCACGGCUAACUUCGUG
rnacentral:rRNA from 1 species